UACGUAGGUGGCAAGCGUUGUCCGGAUUUACUGGGCGUAAAGGGCGUGCAGGCGGUUUGUUUAGUCUAGGGUGAAAGCUCCCGGCUUAACUGGGAGAGGUCCUUGGAUACUGGCAAACUUGAGGGAGGCAGAGGAAAGUGGAAUUCCCGGUGUAGUGGUGAUAUGCGUAGAUACCAUCCAGAACCCCGAUUGCGUAGGCAGCUUACUAGGCUGUAACUGACGCUGAGGCACGAAAGCGUGGGGAGCGAACAGG
rnacentral:rRNA from 1 species